GUAGCUCAGUGGUAGAGCACUCCCUUGGUAAGGGAGAGGUCGAGAGUUCAAUCCUC
rnacentral:tRNA from 1 species